rnacentral:rRNA from 1 species
AGAGUUUGAUCCUGGCUCAGAACGAACGCUGGCGGCGUGGAUAAGACAUGCAAGUCGAACGAUGACUUGAGAGUAGCAAUAUUUUCAAGUUGCAGUGGCGAAAGGGUGCGUAACACGUGGGCAAUCUGCCGUGAAGUUGGGAAUAACUCGCUGAAAGGUGAGCUAAUGCCGAAUGUGGCUGCGACCAGGCAUCUGGAUGCAGCUAAAGCUGGGACCGCAAGGCCUGGUGCUUCAUGAUGAGCCCGCGGCCUAUCAGCUAGUUGGUGAGGUAACGGCUCACCAAGGCUAAGACGGGUAGCUGGUCUGAGAGGACGACCAGCCACACUGGAACUGAGACACGGUCCAGACACCUACGGGUGGCAGCAGUCGAGAAUCUUUCUCAAUGGGCGCAAGCCUGAAGGAGCGACGCCGCGUGGGGGAUGAAGGGCUUCGGCCUGUAAACCCCUGUCAUUUGCGAACAAGGUCGGCCAUUUAAAAGAUAGCCGGAUUGAUGGUAGCGAAAGAGGAAGGGACGGCUAACUCUGUGCCAGCAGCCGCGGUAAUACAGAGGUCCCAAGCGUUGUUCGGAUUCACUGGGCGUAAAGGGUGCGUAGGUGGUGGGGUAAGUUGGAUGUGAAAGCUCCGAGCUUAACUCGGAAAUGGCAUUCAAAACUACCUUGCUAGAGGGUUGGAAGGGGGACUGGAAUUCUCGGUGUAGCAGUGAAAUGCGUAGAUAUCGAGAGGAACACCAGUGGCGAAGGCGAGUCCCUGGACAACUCCUGACACUGAGGCACGAAAGCUAGGGGAGCAAACAGGAUUAGAUACCCUGGUAGUCCUAGCCGUAAACGGUGCACAUUUGCUGUGAGAGGAUUCGACCCCUUUCGUGCGUAGCAACGCGUUAAAUGUGCCGCCUGGGGAGUACGGUCGCAGAUUAAAACUCAAAGGAAUUGACGG